UCCCCUAGUAACUGCGAGUGAAGCGGGAAAAGCUCAAAUUUAAAAUCUGGCGGUCUCCGGCCGUCCGAGUUGUAAUCUAGAGAAGUGUUAUCCGCGCUGGACCGUGUACAAGUCUCCUGGAAUGGAGCGUCAUAGAGGGUGAGAAUCCCGUCUUUGACACGGACUGCCAGGGCUUUGUGAUGCGCUCUCAAAGAGUCGAGUUGUUUGGGAAUGCAGCUCAAAAUGGGUGGUAAAUUCCAUCUAAAGCUAAAUAUUGGCGAGAGACCGAUAGCGAACAAGUACCGUGAGGGAAAGAUGAAAAGAACUUUGGAAAGAGAGUUAAACAGUACGUGAAAUUGCUGAAAGGGAAACGCUUGAAGUCAGUCGCGUUGGCCGGGGAUCAACCUUGCUUUUGCUGGGCGUACUUUCCGGUUGAUGGGUCAGCAUCAAUUUUGAUUGUUGGAUAAAGUCUUGGGGAAUGUGGCAUCUUAGGAUGUGUUAUAGCCCUUGGUCGCAUACAACGGUUGGGAUUGAGGAACUCAGCACGCCGCAAGGCCGGGUAUUUAUACCACGUUCGUGCUUAGGAUGCUGGCAUAAUGGCUUUAAUCGACCCGUCUUGAAACACGGACCAAGGAGUCUAACAUGCCUGCGAGUGUUUGGGUGGAAAACCCGAACGCGCAAUGAAAGUGAAAGUUGAGAUCCCUGUCGUAGGGAGCAUCGACGCCCGGACCAGACCUUUUGUGACGGAUCCGCGGUAGAGCAUGUAUGUUGGGACCCGAAAGAUGGUGAACUAUGCCUGAAUAGGGUGAAGCCAGAGGAAACUCUGGUGGAGGCUCGUAGCGAUUCUGACGUGCAAAUCGAUCGUCAAAUUUGGGUAUAGGGGCGAAAGACUAAUCGAACCAUCUAGUAGCUGGGUUCCUGC
rnacentral:rRNA from 1 species